rnacentral:rRNA from 1 species
UACGAGUGCCCCAAGCGUUAUCCGGAAUCAUUGGGCGUAAAGGGUGUGUAGGCGGUUUGGUUAGUCUUCUGUCAAAUUCACGGGCUCAACCCGAAGUUCGCAGAGGAAACGGCCAGACUCGAGAGUGCGAGAGGUGAAUGGAACUCAUGGAGUAGGGGUGAAAUCCGUUGAUAUCAUGGGGAACACCAAAAGCGAAGGCAAUUCACUGGCGCAUUUCUGACGCUGAAACACGAAAGCGUGGGUAGCGAACGGG